AGGACUAACGCUGGCGGCGUGCCUAACACAUGCAAGUCGAACGAAGUAGCAAUACUUAGUGGCAGACGGGUGAGUAACACGUAGUCAACCUGCCCUUCAAUGGGGGAUAACUAGCCGAAAGGUUAGCUAAUACCGCAUACGAUCUCUGAGUGGCAUCACUCGGCGAUGAAAGGAGUAAUCCGUUGAAGGAGGGGACUGCGUCCCAUUAGUUAGUUGGUGGGGUAAUGGCCUACCAAGACUCCGAUGGGUAGCUGGCUUGAGAGAGCGACCAGCCACACUGGAACUGAGACACGGUCCAGACUCCUACGGGAGGCAGCAGUGAGGAAUUUUCCGCAAUGGGGGAAACCCUGACGGAGCGACGCCGCGUGUGGGAAGAAGGCCUUCGGGUCGUAAACCACUGUCGAGGGGGACGAGUAUUGACGGUACCCCUGGAGGAAGGCCCCGGCUAACUACGUGCCAGCAGCCGC
rnacentral:rRNA from 1 species